UACGUAGGUGGCAAGCGUUGUCCGGAUUUACUGGGCGUAAAGAGCGCGCAGGCGGUCGUUCAAGUCGGGUGUGAAAGCCCCCGGCUCAACUGGGGAGGGUCACGCGAUACUGAUCGACUCGAAGGCAGGAGAGGGUAGUGGAAUUCCCGGUGUAGUGGUGAAAUGCGUAGAUAUCGGGAGGAACACCAGUGGCGAAGGCGACUACCUGGCCUGUUCUUGACGCUGAGGCGCGAGAGCUAGGGGAGCAAACGGG
rnacentral:rRNA from 1 species